rnacentral:rRNA from 2 species
GGACUACCGGGGUAUCUAAUCCUGUUUGCUCCCCACGCUUUCGUGCAUGAGCGUCAGUGUCGACCCAGGGGGCUGCCUUCGCCAUCGGUGUUCCUCCACAUCUCUACGCAUUUCACUGCUACACGUGGAAUUCCACCCCCCUCUGCCGCACUCGAGUCUCGCAGUCACAAACGCAGUUCCCAGGUUAAGCCCGGGGAUUUCACAUCUGUCUUACGAAACCGCCUGCGCACGCUUUACGCCCAGUAAUUCCGAUUAACGCUCGCACCCUACGUAUUACCGCGGCUGCUGGCAC